rnacentral:rRNA from 1 species
GAUGAACGCUGACAGAAUGCUUAACACAUGCAAGUCAACCUGAACUUCGGUUUGGGUGGCGGACGCGUGAGUAACGCGUAAAGAACUUGCCUCACAGAUAGGGACAACAUAUGUAAACGUAUGCUAAUACCAGAUAUUAUGAUUAUAUGGCAUCGCAUAAUCAUGAAAGCUAUAUGCGCUGUGAGAGAGCUUUGCGUCCCAUUAGCUAGUGGGAGGGGCAAGGGCUCACAAAGGCGAUGAUGGGUAGCCGCCCUGAGAGGGUGACCGGCCAAAAGGGCACUGAGACACGGCCCUAACUCCUACGGGAGGCAGAAGUGGGAAAAAUUGACCAAUGGACCAAGAGUGUGAUACAGAAAUUCUGUGCGGAAGAAGAGGUUUUUCGGAAUGUAAAGUGCUUUCAGUUGAGAAGAAAAAAAUGACGGUACCAACAGAAGAAGUGACGGCUAAAUACGUG